GCUUGAUUUCGUGCCACUGUGCCGCUGCCACUCGCCUGCUGGUCUGUUCCGCCCUCCCCUCCUCCCUCUUCUUAGCUAACAGGAGUCGGUGCUGACCAGGCACUCCAAAAGUGUUUAAUACUUUUAUUCACAACUCCCAUUCAUUUCGGUUUUUUAGGCAUUAUUCCUCAGUAUUUAGGCGCGGCCAUUCAUCACAGCCUGACAACAGCGGUGAAAGUAACCAUUGUUCACUCCUGCUGUCAGCUGACGUUGACGGCGUGCGCAAUAUGACUCAGCCACUCUCUGCCUUUCACGGAAAUACAUCAAGUUCAGCAUCGGGAGUAAAAGUGCUCAAUGUGCAGAAAUCGCUCCUUGUUGUUUUUGCCUUUGUUUUUCUACCUUUAAUUUUUAUUGAUGACUUCCGUGUGCGUUUAGCAUUUGUCUGUGUGGUGACACUGGUUCUAGCUGCUUUAAUGAAGGCGACAGUAUCAGCUGUGAUAGAAAUGUAAACACACCGUUGUAGGUAGGACAGUAGUGGCCAUGAAUAAUGACCUGAAAAUCAUCUAUUCCCUUCAACUGCCUUUAGGGGGAGCUGCUAUGAAAAUAAAAAUGUGGCAAAACGUGCCUAUUUUUUAAUUGAUUGAUGUGGCAUGUGUAACAUUAUAUUAAGAUUAAUAACGGCAGUAGUUCUUAAACUAAGGUACGCUAACCCAGGGGUUCUGGGCUUCGGCUCCCUCUAGUGGUUUGCAGCUGAAUCUAUUUUCUUUCUUAAGUACACACGUUUUUUAUUGCUCAAAAAAAAAAAGAGAGAAGGAUUUAAGUUAUAUUCAACAACAAUUGUUGACGCAUUGGAAAUCCCGAGGCCACCUGAGGUUGAUGAAGGACGAAUCAGAGCUCUGUUGCCAUAUGGAGAAAUAUUAAGUGGUAAGAGGGCAAAGACGCAUUGAUUUUACAAUAGAGGACUCCAUCACAGAGAAUUAUGGACGUGGCGGUAAUAGAUGAUUUGACCGCGUUAAAUAUUAAACCUCACAUCCACGGUGCACUUCUUCCCCUCGGCCAUGCGAUUACCACAGAACGGUUAAAUACAGUUCAAUAGCAUGAAGUGGUGAAGUCAUGUGACGGUUAAUAAAGCUGGAAGAGCUUGAGGAGGUGAACAGAUACAGCUCGAACGAAGAGAAAAAAUAAUGGAGCCUCUCAUUGUUGCCUAAACAGAAAUGAUGCAUCAAACUGCAGCAAUUAUUGAAAAAAACACUUUUUUAUAUGGGCUUUGAGGGCAUGAAAAUGCAUCAAUAUAACCCAACAGCAAUCAACGUGUUUUUUUUUCUUUUUUCUACAUCUUCUUCCUCAUGUUCUUCUCCCCAAGAUUCCCCAAUCAGACCUCGUGGCUCCCUGCAGGCUUUUAUGCCAGCCACAAAUGGUGCAACUGCCAGACUGACAAACACAAAAAUCAGUCAGACUGGAGAAAGGGGAAGAAAAGAGAGAAAGAAAAAAAAGGCCCUUGUCACCAUGGCUUCUAUCACGUAGGUCUUUUAAUAAGCGUGUGAAAAAGAGGAAGUAAUCCUUUGAUUUCAUUAAAUGCCCCCGUCACACCUGCAGAUAAUUCCAUUAUGAUUGUGGCAAUAAAAUGAGAUUUUCCAUCAAGACCCGCAGACAGAGGGAGGGGGGGGCGCUAUUAUUCCCCUCAUAUUCAUACGUAGCACUGCCUUUUCUAUUAUGACAUCAGGCCAUUUGAUACAAUAUACACCAACUCCAGUUGUUCUACACGCCUGCAGCCACAGUACAAGGCAUCUUUACGAAGCUAAUGCUAAAUUCGCACUGGCAAAAUCAUGUGUAGUUUUCAUUGAAGGCCUCUAAAAACUCCAAAAACUGUUAUUCUACACUGUGAAGAUAAAUAAUAAAAUAAAAUAGAACUAAUUAAUAAUCUCUUUCUUCUUCAGGACUUUAGGUUUUUCACAUGUGAGAUUUUUUUUUUCUUACCUUGUCAUGAAACAUCUGGUGUUAAAAAGUGCUGUUGCUGAAUUUGCAAACAAACAAACAACACCUGUAAACCUAAAGGUGUGAAUACAUUCUUUGAUGUGCCAGCUCAUCAAUUUCUGCAUAUUUUAUUGCGGUUACGGUUUACAUUACACUACGGACGGCGAGUAGACACAUACCUCAUCCUACAGAAAUAUCUGGAAUAAAUGAAAAAAAAAUAAAAAAUUCCAAAGUGAGAACAGAAGAGAGACUGUGGAGUUUCAGGCAGAAUUUUUUUUUUUAUUAUUACAAAAUUCCCCCAAACACACCUUCAGCACUGCCACAGUUCUGUCAGCUGGAGCUGUGCGUGUGCAGAACAGUUUUUUUUUAACACAAAUCUAACAAUGCAAGAGAAAGUCAAGCACAGACGGAGAGAAAGUGAGGAAAAAGUGUGUGUUGUCUGGAGGAAAUGGAAGCUCUGUGCUUUUGGCAUUUGUGUCACAGAUCCUUUGAAAAAAUGCAUCAGAGCGAUUGUAGAAGUCGCAGGACUGGGUGAGUCCUACUCACAACGCACUCCUGACCAUUAGCUGCAGCGCAGUGUUGCCGAGGAGGGAAGUUGGAAGGUUUGAAAUGUGAGACUGCGCAUCUUAUUUUGAAAACAAACAGAGCGUUUCUGGUUGGAAGUGUCUGUUUGGACUGUGUGUGUGUGUGUGUGUUGGUGAUACAGAGAAAACUCCAGCGACCCUGAGCUGCUUUGUAAGGUGGCGGCAGAUGUCUAUACAAAAUUAGAAAAGAGACAAAGUCAGAGAACUUCAUGCGACUCUUUCUUCAACUCCUGUAUCAUUGCAUUAUGGGGGGACCAUGGUCGGGGUGAGGAGAGUGAGUGUCGCUGUGCAGCGAAGUGGCGGUGUGAAAACGGCACAAGUCAGUGGCGUGAGAGUCAACCAUGCAGCUCUCCACCAGCUCCAACUUGGUCACUAGACAUGGUGCUAAUCAACAAGAAAGCAAGUGACAAUGCAAUCAGACAGAAGACAGAUGUCUGGACACAGCUGAGCAGAGACAUCCUUCAGUUCAACCCCAUGAAUCUGACAUCUCUGUACAGCCUGACGGGAUCCGUGUGGGCAGAGAACAUCUGUUCACCGCUGCCGAGACGCUCCGUCUCUGCCUUCACAGAAACGCGCAGUGGAGACACGGUGCAAGACGGUGGAUGGUCCUGAUGAAACACCCGGAGAGGGCAGAGAGACUCCAGUCUCUCCCAAGCAGCAGGGCGGUCGGAGGUGACAUGUCAUCGUAACCUUCAGACUCGUAAAUGUUGCCUUAUUCCUCGUCCCUACCACUCCUCUUCAUUUUCCAUGCCCGGAAUCCUUUCCUCAUCUGUAGCCUCUGGGACAGAAAGAACGUCGAUCCAGAACCUUGGAACAAGUUUAAUCCAACCGACCUGGACCCGUAUCAGAAUGAUACAGCCAAUGUGGAGGAGCCAAUAGCAGUAGAGUGAGAGAACGGCGGUAAGUAAGUACGUUUAUUUAACAGGUGAAUGUGGUGACAUGAAAAUCCCAUGUCACCACAUUCCCAUGAAACUCCAAAAACACAUGAAGAAGGCAAUGAGCAGGAAUCCAAAAAACAAAACAAAAAUUACUUCACUGCAUAGGUAGAACAAAGAAGGUAGCAAAAUGGCUUUAGUUACCACGAGCAGGGUAAGAUAAAAUAAAUAAAGGUAAAUCGGACUACGAACACUAUUUUGCUUUGUUUGGCGAACGAUGCUUCGAUUCACAAACGCGAACAGGCAUAGACGUGAGUUGUAUGAAUUCGGACCACUACUAACUAUUACUCACCCAGCAGCAAAAAAGACAUAUUUCUAGGCCAAAGAAUGGAUUAACUGGGUUUUUACAAUAAUUGCAAUGUGCAUCAUUAGUUAAAUCAGGGGUGCCCAACCACUGGUGCGGGGACCGAUGCCGGUGCGUAGGUCAUUUGGUACUGGGCCUCAGUG